rnacentral:lncRNA from 1 species
CAGACCUGCCGCCUGGCUGCUCGCUCGGUUCUUGUGCGACAGUGAGUCCUGUCCGACUCUGCCUCCGCUGCUGCCCUGCAAACGCCUGGCGCUGAGCUGGGGCGACCAGAGCCACUCACGGUGCUCGACGCAGAGCCUGAGAACGCUGUAGCCUCGGUUAAAGGCACAGGUGCCUUCGCAGACGGAGAGGAAACGUUCCCGGCAAUCCCUGGAGAGCGAGGCCCAGACUCUACCACCAACGCAGAUGCAACC